rnacentral:rRNA from 1 species
CAGUCGCCGCGGUAAUACGUAGGGUGCGAGCGUUAAUCGGAAUUACUGGGCGUAAAGCGUGCGCAGGCGGUUCGUACAGUCGGAUGUGAAAUUCCUGGGCUUAACCUGGGGACUGCAUUCGAUACGUGCGGGCUUGAGUGUGGAAGAGGGUUGUGGAAUUCCCAGUGUAGAGGUGAAAUUCGUAGAUAUUAGGAAGAACACCAGUGGCGAAGGCGACUUUCUGGACGAAAGCUGACGCUGAGGCGCGAAAGCCAGGGGAGCGAACGGGAUUAGAUACCCGAGUAGUCCCUGUCUCUUAUAC